CUUGUCUUUAUCUCCAUGUGGGCCACCUACAACUUUUGCAUUGAGGGCCACCCGCUCAAUGGCCCAGUCCAGGUAAGGGCUGGAAAACACCUGCUGCCAGCCGGUUGAUUCCUUUAUCCUAAAGAACAAUCCCAGUCUGAGGAUAUAAAAGGCCUUUUAAGAUGACCUCACCCUGCCUACUGCACUACUGCUUAUAAGGGGAAUACUUUGUCUUCAUGGCACCCCAACCCCUCCCCCCACAUGCCCUUACCAGAAUGGAGCACAUGUUAUUCUCCAGUCUGCUUUGAGACAGCUACAACCAACCCAGUUCUAAUGUUCUCUGUACUCUCUACUGCUGCAUCUAAUACAGCUUUCAAAAUCCACAAUACAUUUAUGAAAGUAUUCUAUAACAUGGUUCAUUAAAACUGUUAACACAAAUAUGUGAGAUCAUACUCUUAGUCAGUGGUGAUUCUUUUAUCUUCUUUAAGUAUUUUUAUAUACAUACAUACAUGUAAUAUAUCUUUUUUUGCACAGCAUCUUUAAUCAUCUAAGUUUCAGUGUAACCACAGAAGUAACUGCACCGUUUUUACUCACCCAGUCUUUGAGGUCCAUCUGCUCCAGAAGGUCCAGGGAGAGAAGACUGAGGGCAAGAACGAGGGUAACCCCCCUCUGCGCCACUGGGGCCCGAGCGCUCCUCUGGACCUGCAACAGCUGCACCCUGCCCUCCGGCACUGCUCCGCGCUGGGAGAGCUGAAGGACAAAGAUACCAGCCUCAUCCUGAUCUGUUAUAUUUGGCACAGAGGAUGAAAUGGUGACUGCUUUUCCUCUAUCUUCCACAGAUCUACUCUCAACCUACCUGGUGGAGGGAGGUAGCCAUGAAACAACACACUUCCACAUGACGAUCGCUCCAGUUCUUCACAAAGCAGUAAGCGUCGGACUGACCAUAUCAGUGACAAACAGAGAUGUAAGCUCAGUCAGCAUGACAAUAGAGUGGCACUUCCUCUCCCAUACCAUUCGCCAGAAGUCCUGCACAGUGUGAGCUAAAGGUGCCUGAGUAGCUAUAAAGUAAUCCUUCUUCCUAUAACCCUGCAAAGACCCACUCGGUCCAUCUGUGUGUGUGUGUUGUGGAGUUUGUGGAGGUGGCCUUCCAAAGAAGCAAUGUCUAACUCUGUGUCACCAUACAGGUAAUGCUCUAAAAGUGCCUGAUAAAUGAAUGAAUACUGCAUCUGUGGGCGAGAGAGAAGAAAUCAGUGGCCAGUCACUGCUGAAAUGAGUCCAAUACAGAAGAAGGACUGCACAAAGUCCUUUACGUCUGUU